rnacentral:rRNA from 1 species
UACGUAGGGUCCGAGCGUUGUCCGGAAUUAUUGGGCGUAAAGGGCUCGUAGGCGGUCUGUUGCGUCGGGAGUGAAAACUUACAGCUUAACUGUGAGCGUGCUUCCGAUACGGGCAGACUUGAGGUAUUCAGGGGAGAACGGAAUUCCUGGUGUAGCGGUGAAAUGCGCAGAUAUCAGGAGGAACACCGGUGGCGAAGGCGGUUCUCUGGGAAUAUCCUGACGCUGAGGAGCGAAGCGUGGGGAGCGAACAGG